rfam:Beta vulgaris subsp. vulgaris chromosome 7, whole genome shotgun sequence.
GCGGGUAUAACGAAAUGGUAAAUCUUUUUCUUUCCAAGGAAAAGAUGUGGGUUCGAUUCCCGCUAUCCGCU